UGGGGAAUUUUGGACAAUGGGCGAAAGCCUGAUCCAGCAAUGCCGCGUGUGUGAAGAAGGCCUUCGGGUUGUAAAGCACUUUUGUCCGGAAAGAAAUCCUUGGCUCUAAUACAGUCGGGGGAUGACGGUACCGGAAGAAUAAGCACCGGCUAACUACGUGCCAGCAGCCGCGGUAAUACGUAGGGUGCAAGCGUUAAUCGGAAUUACUGGGCGUAAAGUNUGCGCAGGCGGUUUGCUAAGACCGAUGUGAAAUCCCCGGGCUCAACCUGGGAACUGCAUUGGUGACUGGCAGGCUAGAGUAUGGCAGAGGGGGGUAGAAUUCCACGUGUAGCAGUGAAAUGCGUAGAGAUGUGGAGGAAUACCGAUGGCGAAGGCAGCCCCCUGGGCCAAUACUGACGCUCAUGCACGAAAGCGUGGGGAGCAAACAGGAUUAGAUACCCUGGUAGUCCACGCCCUAAACGAUGUCAACUAGUUGUUGGGGAUUCAUUUCCUUAGUAACGUAGCUAACGCGUGAAGUUGACCGCCUGGGGAGUACGGUCACAAGAUU
rnacentral:rRNA from 1 species